rnacentral:rRNA from 1 species
GAUGAACGCUGGCGGCGUGCCUAAUACAUGCAAGUCGAGCGAACAGACGAGGAGCUUUCUCCUCUGACGUUAGCGGCGGACGGGUGAGUAACACGUGGAUAACCUACCUAUAAGACUGGGAUAACUUCGGGAAACCGGAGCUAAUACCGGAUAAUAUAUUGAACCGCAUGGUUCAAUAGUGAAAGACGGUUUUGAUGUCACUUAUAGAUGGAUCCGCGCCGCAUUAGCUAGUUGGUAAGGUAACGGCUUACCAAGGCAACGAUGCGUAGCCGACCUGAGAGGGUGAUCAGCCACACUGGAACUGAGACACGGUCCAGACUCCUACGGGAGGCAGCAGUAGGGAAUCUUCCGCAAUGGGCGAAAGCCUGACGGAGCAACGCCGCGUGAGUGAUGAAGGUCUUCGGAUCGUAAAACUCUGUUAUUAGGGAAGAACAAAUGUGUAAGUAACUAUGCACGUCUUGACGGUACCUAAUCAGAAAGCAACGGCUAACUACGUG